UCUUCCCUCAGGCCAUUAGCCAUGCCAGGCAGAAUACAUCUUCCUGCUCCCCUUCUAACUCAGGCAUCCCAUAGGAGGCAGAGAUGAUCAGGCUGCUGGUGACAGAGGAAACCGAGCAAGGGGAUGGAGAGCUCCACGCGCGCCCUGCCACUCCUGCACAGAACAGCCACCAUGGCCGGAUCCUUCUGAGGCUGGUGGAGAGGAAUUGCUGAUAUAAGAAAAGCACAUACCGUUCUGUAUAUGCUUGAGAAUAACUUGUCUCUUCUCCUUCA